AUCACUUUGCUGUAAUAGAGAGGAGUGAGAUCAUUUUGCUGAUAAUAGGGAGGAGUGAGAUCACUUUGCUGAUAAUAGGGAGGAGUGAGAUCACUUUGCUGUAAUAAAGAGGAGUGAGAUCACUUUUCUGAUAAUAGAGAGGUGUGAGAUCACUUUGCUGUAAUAGAGAGGAGUGAGAUCACUUUGCUGUAAUAGAGAGGAGAUCACUUUGCUGUAAUAGAGAGGAGUGAGAUCACUUUGCUGUAAUAGAGAGGAGUGAGAUCACUUUGCUGAUAAUAGGGAGGAGUGAGAUCACUUUGCUGAUAAUAGAGGAGUAAGAUCACUUUGCUGAUAAUAGAGGAGUAAGAUCACUUUGCUGAUAAUAGAGGAGUAAGAUCACUUUGCUGAUAAUACAUAGAAGUGAGAUCACUUUGCUGUAAUAGGGAGGAGUGAGAUCACUUUGCUGAUAAUAGGGAGGGGUAAGAUCACUUUGCUGAUAACAGGGAGGGGUCAGAACGCUUUGCUGAUAAUACAUAGGAGUGAGAUCACUUUGCUGUAAUAGAUAGGAGUAAGCUCACUUUGCUGAUAAUACAUAGGAGGGAGAUCACUUUGCUGAUAAUUGGGAGGAGUCAGACCACUUUGAUGAUGAUAGAUAGGAGUGAGAUUACUUUUAAUAGUACAAGCUUGUCAUGCACAGUUCUAAGCCUUACCACGACAAGCUAGGUAUCCUCUUUCUCUCGAAGUUUUUCGAGUCGAACGAGCAAUGAUAGGUCUUCAGGUCCAUCGAACAAUGAUAGGUCUUCAGGUCCAACGAGCAAUGAUAGGCAUCGAAGAAUAGGUCUUCAGGUCCAACGAACAAUGACAGGUCUUCAGGUACAUCGAAUGAUAGGUCUUCAGGUCCAUCGAGCAAUGAUAGGUCUUCAGGUCUAUCGAAGGAUAGGUCUUAAGGUCCAACGAGCAAUGAUAGGUCUUCAGGUACAUUGAGCGAUGAUAGGUAUUCAUGUACAUCGAGCAAAAUAGGUCUACGUUUCAUCGAGCAAUAAAUACUACUUAUUAACCGAGGGCGAGGUCCGUACUGGGAAAUCUCAGCCCGCGGGACCAAGGGCUAUAAUUUCUCAGUACGGACCGAGCAAUCGAGGUUAAUAAGUUAUUUAUUACAUGGCUCUUUUAAAUAUUUGUACAAAAAGGAAAACUUAUGCUGAAGUGAAAGAAGGAACCGUUUCUGGAUUUACAAGCCACGAGUGCUCAACUCCAAAGCUCAAAAUAACGAGUCGAUUUGUUAAAUGACCAUCGAAAACUUGCUUUUUACGGCGAUUUUUACCGAUCUUCACAGGAAACCCUCUUUUUUAUGUUAUUUCAUUUAGAUUAGUUGUCUUUAUGGAAAAUCAUCUUCAAACUCCCUGUGUUAUGACAUAUCUUGUUAGAUUAAUAUAUAGAUUUAGGCACGGCCUAAAAGCUGAGCCAACUUUAUUUGCCACUCUUAACUAGGGUUUUGUCCCCAUCCCAUUCCCCCCCCCCCCCUCCUCCCAACCCCUACGAAGACCAAACUUAAGCGAGAGACACACCCAGGAUUCUACACUUUGACUAUGCUCCAGGUAUUCCUAAAAUGAGCCCUAUCUAAAUGCACAAAAAUGCAUGGCUUAUUACCUUUCCUAUUAUUCCUAUUAUAAAGUUAUUAUUGAAAAAAUCCAUAGGACAAUUUACAAGAAAAAAGACUGCUGUUACCUAUGCAAAUCAAUGCACAUGAGAAUAAUACAAUCAGUUUGCUGGUUCAUUUGCAAUAACAGUCAUUAAGUUAAGUACAGAAUACCUCUGGUCUUCAAGCAUCAGAAACCAUAUGGGAAGUAUCAACAAUAUUCAGAGCAGAUUAUGUUGGCUUAUAGGGAAAGAAUGUGGGUUGAUUGAAUAUAAUUAUACUAAACAAUAAAAUAAUAUGAAAAACAUUUUUUACAUAUGCUUUCAGGUGUAUCGUUGUGGGGGUAAUUUAGGCUAAGCAAACACGCCAGUAGUUUCAAAAACAACUGAUUUACUUCAGCCAUGCUUUCAACCUCGUGUCCCUACAUUCAUAGCGCGUACCACAGCUACUUGGUAUUUUUGUGGGCAAGAGGAUAAAUUCGUUAUUACCUCAAAGGCUUUCCAGGUUUGUUGCCAAUUCCCCCAAUUCUUUGCAAGAUCACCUGUCAGGUUUAAAGGUUGUGGGAGGGGGAGGGGGAUAUUCGACGUACAGAUCUGCUGCUGCGGAGGUGGAGGAUUUGUAGGUUGCUCGGGAUCCGGCAUGUUUGUUUCCUCGUCAGUCACUGAAUGAAACUCUGCUCCAAACGGCUCUAUUUUGCUCCAAAUUUCGCCAGGAAUCUCCCAAAACUGUUCUCCAGAGGCUGGUCCGGCUUAUUCUGACACCAUGUAUCGUUGUGGGGGUAAUUUAGGCUAAGCAAACACGCCAGUAGUUCAAAAACAACUGAUUUACUUCAGCCAUGCUUUCAAACUCGAGUCCUUACAUUCAUAGUGCGUACCACAGGGAUAAUGAAUUUUGAUAUACUAAAUUCCUUGCUUUAUUCACCUUGUCAUUUCAUAGCUAAUACUAGCUAUAUUAAUGUCAUUACUUAGCAUGUACAUAGGCAAGCACUUUUUAUCUCACCAUAGCUUGGUAUAAAAGAGACAAGAAAAUAAAAACAAAUUAUAAUAGGUACCAAAUAAUAAAUCUAAACAUAGAUAUUUUUAUAGAGAAGUGAUAGAACCCCAUUUUAGAGCCCAAGAACCCCCUUGAAAAUAAGAUGAAAACUA